GCUCUCUUCGUCAGCGCAUAUACUAAAGUUGGAACAAUACAGAGAAGAUUAGCAUGGCCCCUGUGCAAGGAUCGCAUGCAAAUUUGUGAAGUGUUCCAUAUUUUC